ensembl:lncRNA
UUCUCUUUUAUCUUUGUAGACACAUCAAAGAGGUGGUGUUCCUGCAGGCACAGCAGAACAGAGAGCUGCAGGAUUUGUACAGGCAGCUCCGGUCUCUUAAAGACCCCAGGCAGUCUCUGUCCAUGACGCUGCCCCGUACCUCUCCUCUGCCUACCGCACCCCUCGCCAUCUCCCCGCGCAGACCCCGGCCCACCAAAGCCAAGCUUCGACCCCGACCCCACUCUCACAUGGAUAACAAUGGAGUCACACACCAAGGGAGUCUUCAGCAGUCUAGCAGUUAUUCUGGUGGAGAGCAACACAGGCUUCUCUCAUACUGCAAGCCAGAGAAAUCCCCAUCACUGACCGCUAAUAGAGACCGGAGUCCUCCAGCCCAGGCUUCUGUUAAUAGAAAGAGCACAUUCACUGAUGAGCUGCAUAAGCUUGUUGAUGAGUGGUCAAAAGAAAUGGUUUGUCCUGUUCAGCCCAAGCCUUCACUGAAUCAAAUCAAACAGAUCCAACAAGUGCAGGAGUUGGGCGGUUGGGGCCAGACUACUGAGACAACAGCUUCAUCGGGUUGGUUUUCCGGAGCCCCUUUGACUGCUCCAGUAUCAGUCAGCAUGUCUACAGUGGCGCCCGCCUCAUAUAGUACCAUCGGUGGACAAACUCAGCCACCUCUGACGCAAUUUCCCAUCACACCUCUCUCCCAGCAGAACACUCAUCUGCACCGCCAGCCCCUGCAGUACAGCCCGUCUCCCCUGCACCCACAGCAGGUCCAGCUCCUGUCAGGACCCCAGUCCUCGGUGUCCGGCGCGCCUCCCCUCAUAACCCCUGCGGGGCCUCUGCUGCCCCCCGCCACCAGCAUCACAGCUGCCUCUGCCCCCGCCGCCAAUCAAAACGCUGUCUUCUGCUCGUGCUCCUCCUCGUCGUGCUCCUCUUCCUCCUGCUCCACCUCCGCUCUGCCUCCCAGUGCCAAACUUCACCCCAAACCCUCCACAUCCACCCUUCCUUUAGGACAGCAGUGAGAAGAUGGAUACCGGUGUACAUCUUGUACAGGAGGGACACUAGUAGCAAGCGCUUGCGUGUUGGGGUGUGUUGGUAUGGAGGUGUAUAAAUACUGUAGUGUGUGUAUCUGUGUGAGCGUGUGUUUGUGUUGCAUUUUUUCAAUACAUAUCCUCUUGUGUGUUUCCGCACCGUCAAGUUUUCUAUCCGACUUAGUUGGACCUGAACUCGCCCUAUAUAGAGACAUUUUUGACACGAGUUAUGAUCCUCUUUGUUUUCAUUUAUCAGUGCUUCAAAUGAAAAGACUAUUUGAAUUUUAAAAAGUGCAAUUAGUAACUGAUAUUUAAAUUCAUCUUUUCUGUGUUGUUGUGACGUGGAUCUGUAUAGCUUAAAAGAAAUAUUUUUUAUAUAUAUGCACAGAAACGACAACAACAAUCAGACGUCAGCAGUGAAGCGCCAUCUUUGUAGAGCACAACAGAUUCAGCCGGCGGCGGGAUCGAUUGCAUGUUCCAGCGCAGAGCAUGGUAACCUUGCAACCAUCAUCGUAGCUACGAAAACAAUCGUUGUGCACGGAUAAGGCAUGCUCCUCAUGUAUUAUAUUUUACGACGAUAAAUAGCCGUAACGUUAUAGAUUUAACCAAGAUUUUUUCUAGAAUAACAUAAAUAGCCAUUGACUAAUUCCUUUUAAGAUCCUGCAAUUGAUUCUGAGAGAAAAGAAAAACAAGUUCAUUUGGUUUCAAAUGAAACUAGCUAAUAUGAUUGCAGUAUUUUCCUCUCUUUUUAAGGUUUACACUAUUAACAUUAAUCCCAUGGUGAAGUGUGCAAGACUAGACGGCUGUUUGGAAAGCUCAAGUGAAGUGAAUGCAGCUUGCUCUUGUGUAUUUUUGCACAGUCCUGUAUGAACGUGCUUCCGUGCACACCGAACUGUUAUCUGUGAACUGUGAGUUUGCUUUUAGUGAAUGCAACGCAUCAGCAAAACACUGGCAAAAAGAUGUAUUCCUCAUUGAAUCAAACUUUUCAUCAGAUACUACUCUGGUGAAAAAUUACAUAUAUAUAUAUAUAUAUAUAUAUAUAUAUAUAUAUAUAUACAUAGACGUAACUGCCAAGCAAGUUUGGGAGAAAAUCCAGGAAUAGGUUGCCUUUCUACAGUGUAUUUUUCCUGAACAUAAAGCUUUUAUGUGAUUCAGCUAGACCAAGAUAUCAGAGCCCAGCCUUUAAAUCAGCAGCUACGCAACUCUGUUGUACAGCUGGACUACUGAGAUUUAUAAAGCUGUUGUCAGAAUGCAUUCUCCAUAAGUCUGAGAUGCCCAUAUACAGAAAGCUGACUGUGUUUUCUUUAAUGUUUUUUUUUUUUGGAAAAAGCAAUGGAAGGUUGGUACGAAUGAGGCAACCUGCAUUUUUACAAGAAGUAGGUGAGAGAUAGAAAUGUAUUGUGUAAGGUGCACAGGGAAUGAGGAACCGGUUUGUGUUGUGAAGCUUUUAAAAUCAUGCUAAUGCUUGAACUUGUGGAUGUUACAAAAAGAGGUCAACAUGGCCGUUGCCUACAGAGGGUUGCAAUCAUUCAGUUUCCAGUAUUUAAUGUCACUUUUCUGAAGACAAGACCCACCUCUUCACAGUAAACCAACAGUACAGUAGUGGUGAGUAAAAAGGCUGUUGUGUCAAAGAAAACUCCAGACAUUAUCCAUUUGAUCUGUACAAAUGGGAAAUAUAAUGGAAAAACCUCUGCUGAAGUGUUACCAAAAUGUAAUCUAAAAAGAAAGCAUUAUUUUUGUAUUUUGAAAGGGGUUGUAAAAAUGUAAAAUUGUGUACUGAUCAGUGUUGAGAAAGCUGUGGUUAUCUGAUAAGACACAGGUCCUAAAACAGUUUCUCGAGUUCCCCUGGCUUCAAACUUUGCCCCAAACGUUUGUUCAAAGAUUACAACAUGAUAUAUUUAGAUUUUUAGAGGGGUUUUAAUUCAAAGCUAGUGAUUGGAAAUAUUAGAAGCCAAAUCAUUUCUACAGUGGAGGUAUAAGUGUGGGUGAAGCUGUACAGUAAAACCAGGGGGACCCCAGAAUUACUUGACUGACCACCAAUAAUUAAAGGUUAUUUAUGUGAAAAUAAUCUACCGAGGACUAAACUCAUUGCUGGUGAUUUAGCUACUGUAAAUUGUAACUAAUUCAACUGUUGAUUCUAUUUAUGUUUUGUAACUAAUCAAAAAUAAACAUCAGAUGUUAAACA